rnacentral:rRNA from 2 species
UAGGGAAUCUUCGGCAAUGGACGAAAGUCUGACCGAGCAACGCCGCGCGAGUGAAGAAGGUUUUCGGAUCGUAAAACUCUGUUGUUAGAGAAGAACAAGGACGUUAGUAACUGAACGUCCCCUGACGGUAUCUAACCAGAAAGCCACGGCUAACUACGUGCCAGCAGCCGCGGUAAUACGUAGGUGGCAAGCGUUGUCCGGAUUUAUUGGGCGUAAAGCGAGCGCAGGCGGUUUCUUAAGUCUGAUGUGAAAGCCCCCGGCUCAACCGGGGAGGGUCAUUGGAAACUGGGAGACUUGAGUGCAGAAGAGGAGAGUGGAAUUCCAUGUGUAGCGGUGAAAUGCGUAGAUAUAUGGAGGAACACCAGUGGCGAAGGCGGCUCUCUGGUCUGUAACAGACGCUGAGGCUCGAAAGCGUGGGGAGCAAACAGG